UUUCUGUUUUCCUUAGACUUUAAAACUUUUUUUGAGUUGAAUAAUUUUCUUCAGGUUCAUUCUUCUUAAAUAAUUUUUAAGUUAGUAUUAUUUAUUUACUUGUUCCUGUGUUUGUUGAUUUGUGUUGUUCCGUGGGGCACACGUGGAGGUCAGAGAACAGUUAUGGGAACCUUAUAGGAGUCAGUUCUUUCUUUUUAACUGUGUGACUCCUGGGAACUGAACUGAAAGGUUGGCAGGGUGGGCCUUUACCUGAGCCGUCUUGGCAGCCCAACAAAUGAUUUUGAGAGUUUGGGUUUUCCUUUUAAGACAGACAGACAGACAGACAGAUACAAUCUCUGAUUAUAUUUCACAGGUUUUAAUAAGUAGGAUUUUCCUUAUUAUUUGCUAAAUGAUCUGGCCUUUUGUCUUUAUUCAUGGAAAUGGAGGAUUUUUAGACACAAAUGAUCCAUCAUCUUUAAGCCUUGCUGUUGGGUGAUGCUGGCCUGGAUGCUACUUCUUUUUCUCGAGGCUUCUGCAGAUUAAAACCAAUAAAGCCUUUUAAC
rnacentral:lncRNA from 1 species